rnacentral:rRNA from 1 species
UACAGAGGGGCCGAGCGUUAGGCGGAAUCACUGGGCUUAAAGCGUGCGUAGGCGGAUCGUUAAGUAUCUUGUGAAAUCCCACGGCUCAACCGUGGAACUGCUGGGUAUACUGGCGAUCUUGAGCAGCUUAGGGGCAGACGUAACAAGUGGUGGAGCGGUGAAAUGCGUAGAUAUCACGUGGAACGCCGACGGUGAAAACAGUCUGCUGGGAGCUUGCUGACGCUGAGACACGAAAGCCAGGGGAGCGAACGGG